rnacentral:rRNA from 1 species
GAUGAACGCUAGCGAUAGGCUUAACACAUGCAAGUCGAGGGGCAGCGAGGGUAGCAAUACCUGUCGGCGACCGGCGCACGGGUGAGUAACGCGUAUGUAACCUGCCCGCAACAGGGGGAUAACCCGGCGAAAGUCGGACUAAUACCGCAUAAAACAGGGGUCCCGCAUGGGAAUAUUUGUUAAAGAUUUAUCGGUUGCGGAUGGGCAUGCGUACCAUUAGGUAGUUGGUGAGGUAACGGCUCACCAAGCCUUCGAUGGUUAGGGGUUCUGAGAGGAGGGUCCCCCACACUGGUACUGAGACACGGACCAGACUCCUACGGGAGGCAGCAGUGAGGAAUAUUGGUCAAUGGGCGAGAGCCUGAACCAGCCAAGUCGCGUGAAGGAGGACUGCCCUAUGGGUUGUAAACUUCUUUUACAAGGGAAUAAAAUGAGAUACGUGUAUUUUAUUGCAUGUACCUUGGGAAUAAGCAUCGGCUAACUCCGUG